GACGAACGCUGGCGGCGUGCCUAAUACAUGCAAGUUGAGCGAUGGAGGUUGGUACUUGUACCGACUGGAUGAGCAGCGGACGGGAGAGUAACGCGUGGGGAAUAUGACUGUGAGAGGGGGACAACAAUAGGAAACGAAUGCUAAUACCGCAUAAAAAAUUUAAACACAAGGUGUAAGUGUGAAAGAUGCAAGUGCGUGACGCAAAGAUGAACCAGGGUUGUAUUAGCUAGCUGGUGAGGGAAGGGCACACCAAGGCGAGGAGACAUAGCCGACCUGAGAGGGUGAUCGGCCACAUUGGGACUGAGCCACGGCCCAAACUCCUACGGGAGGCAGCAGUAGGGAAUCUUCGGCAAUGGACGAAAGUCUGACCGAGCAACGCCGCGUGAGUGAAGAAGGUUUUCGGAUCGUAAAACUCUGUUGGUAGAGAAGAACGUUGGUGAGAGUGGAAAGCUCAUCAAGUGACGGUAACUACACAGAAAGGGACGGCUAACUACGUG
rnacentral:rRNA from 1 species